rnacentral:rRNA from 1 species
AGUGAACGCUGGCGGUAGGCCUAACACAUGCAAGUCGAACGGCAGCACAGUAAGAGCUUGCUCUUACGGGUGGCGAGUGGCGGACGGGUGAGGAAUACAUCGGAAUCUACUUUUUCGUGGGGGAUAACGUAGGGAAACUUACGCUAAUACCGCAUACGACCUACGGGUGAAAGCAGGGGAUCUUCGGACCUUGCGCGAUUGAAUGAGCCGAUGUCGGAUUAGCUAGUUGGCGGGGUAAAGGCCCACCAAGGCGACGAUCCGUAGCUGGUCUGAGAGGAUGAUCAGCCACACUGGAACUGAGACACGGUCCAGACUCCUACGGGAGGCAGCAGUGGGGAAUAUUGGACAAAGGGCGCAAGCCUGAUCCAGUCAUACCGCGUGGGUGAAGAAGGCCUUCGGGUUGUAAAGCCCUUUUGUUGGGAAAGAAAAGCAGCAGGUUAAUACCCCGCUGUUCUGACGGUACCCAAAGAAUAAGCACCGGCUAACUUCGUG